rnacentral:lncRNA from 1 species
UACUUUUAGUAAAUAUAAUUUUUGUUUGUUACAGGAGAUGUUACAACAAAACUUUGAAAAAUUAAACUGUACCAUAACAGCUGAAAAUGACCAAGUGGAGCCUGGAACAAGAGGUGCCACCACCAACACUGCACCAUCACCACCUAUGCCAAGGUGACAUGAUGCAACAUCUUCCCGAGGCAGUGGACCAGAAGGUAUGACACUGUAGACACUGGGAAGAAUACUUUCCUACCAUCACCAAGUGGCAUCAUCAACAUAACCAACCAACUGAAGUUAACCAGAGAUGGACACAAACUUCACCUGCUGCUGUAUUGUUCUUUCUCCAUCACUGCCUUAAGUGGACCUGAAUUGAGCUGGACCUGAUGUGAACUAGACUAAAGUGAGCUGGACCUCAGGUGAACUGGAACUAAAGUUAACUAAACCUGAUGUUACUGCACCUGCAAGUAAAGUAGACCUAAAGGACUAUCUGGUAUUUAUUUAAUAUUGUUCUGGAUAUUUAUGGUAAAGGUGUUUUUUGGCUUAUAACUUGCAUUGCUGGAAUCCUUGCAAGAUAGCAAUUAAAUUGAGUAUAAACAUCUCACAGUUUGCACUAGAGAUAAUUUUUUUUAGUCCUUUAGCCAAGUACAUUUGAGUACAGAGUGAGUACAGUUAUAUGUUGCUGAAAAUUAUGGCUUUUUCACAGGGAAACGUCUGUAUAACUAUCCCCAGUAGUUAGGAUAUUAUGUACUGUAUUUUGGGUGUUUUUUAUAUAAUUAUUUAUCGUUUUUAUACGUUUAGUACAUUUGCUGGAAGAUUCGGA